rnacentral:rRNA from 1 species
AUUGAACGCUGGCGGCAUGCCUUACACAUGCAAGUCGAACGGCAGCACGGGAGCAAUCCUGGUGGCGAGUGGCGAACGGGUGAGUAAUAUAUCGGAACGUGCCCAGUCGUGGGGGAUAACGUAGCGAAAGCUACGCUAAUACCGCAUACGAUCUAUGGAUGAAAGCGGGGGAUCGCAAGACCUCGCGCGAUUGGAGCGGCCGAUAUCAGAUUAGGUAGUUGGUGGGGUAAAGGCUCACCACGCCGACGAUCUGUAGCUGGUCUGAGAGGACGACCAGCCACACUGGGACUGAGACACGGCCCAGACUCCUACGGGAGGCAGCAGUGGGGAAUUUUGGACAAUGGGCGCAAGCCUGAUCCAGCAAUGCCGCGUGCAGGAUGAAGGCCUUCGGGUUGUAAACUGCUUUUGUACGGAGCGAAAAGGCUUCCACUAAUACUGGGGGCUCAUGACGGACCGUAAGAAUAAGCACCGGCUAACUACGUGCCAGCCGCCGCCGUAACAC